rnacentral:rRNA from 1 species
UCGCUUGUUUUAACAAAAACAUGUCUUUUUGUUUAAAAUUUAAAGUCUAACCUGCCCACUGAUAAAUUUAAAGGGCCGCGGUAUAUUGACUGUGCAAAGGUAGCAUAAUCAUUUGUCUCUUAAUUGGAGGCUGGAAUGAAUGGUUGAAUGAAAUAUUAACUGUCUCAUUUUUAAAAUUAUAAAAAUUUAGCUUUUAAGUCAAAAGGCUUAAAUAUUAUUAGAGGACGAGAAGACCCUAUAGAUCUUUAUAAUUUAUUUAAUUUUAUAAUAUAGUAAAAUAAUUAAUAAAAUUAUUUAAAUUAUUUUAUUGGGGUGAUAGGAAAAUUUAAUAAACUUUUUUUAUUUAUAAACAUUGAUUUAUGAUUAAUUGAUCCAUUUUUAGUGAUUAAAAAAUUAAGUUACCUUAGGGAUAACAGCGUAAUUUUUUUAAAGAGUUCUUAUCGAUAAAAAAGAUUGCGACCUCGAUGUUGAAUUAAAGGUUAUUUCUAGAUGUAGCAGUUUAGAGUUUAGGUCUGUUCGACCUUUGAAUCUUUACAUGAUCUGAGUUCAAACCGGA